CAGUAUACCACCUCUCUCUAGUUUUGGAGGCUAAGCUGGGCCAGGUGUGGUUCAUGCUUGAAUGGGAGACCACCAGGGAUACCAGAUGGUGUAUUGA
rnacentral:rRNA from 1 species